AUCAUCUCAUUAGGAGGAGUUGGCUUUGACUAUCAUCUUGUAUUCCCUCUUUUCUCACAUAGGUUUAACCAAGACAUGUAGAAAAUAUAAUCUUAAGGUGAGUUGUAGAUGCAAAAAUCGUAGUACCAUUCUCAAUUUAGGUGUUGGCUUUACAAUUAAGAAUUUGUUUACUAUUUGUCUUUCGAUCUCUUUUCUUAAUACUUUUUUACUUACGUUUUUAUACCUUAUUCUCCAUGAUAACACAAGGAAUACAAAAGAUGGAACGACAUAUUGUGUUGUGUGACUAUGAGGUCUUUGAUGCAUUUCAAGCAAAUUCUAGAGGCUGCAACUGAUGGGCACUUCUCAGAUAUGAAGAGCGAAGCAUAGAGAAGCAAGAACCUUUAUUGUUCUUUUUUUAAAAUUUAUGAUACCCUAUG
rnacentral:lncRNA from 1 species